AUUAGGAGGACACAAUGCGGAGAGCGCUAGUUAAUACGAAAUUCUGAUGUUAAGUUUAGUUAAAUGAUUUUAGAAUAGAACCCGUGGUGCUUUUCUAUAUCACCAUAAUCGGCCUCGGGCCAGAACUCUUCUUUUUCGAACAGGAACUAGUGAUUUGGGAGCCGUUGAAGGCAACUCCACGGGACGCACGACAGACGGACUCAUCCUGCGUCAUAAAAGAUGCCACCCCCUACUCUACGCUUGACAGCCGAGGUCAUCUUCUUUAUCUGAUCGCUUCCAAAGGCUCACGAACCGUCAACUUAGGUCGUCAGAUGUCGCAGGACUUUUCGAUUCUCGCAAAAAAAAAAACAAUUGAACCUGCAUGCCAUUUGGGCUGGCACCGACUAGAUCUCUCCUUGGGCCAUGGAUCUCCUAACACUGCCCGCCACACACAACAAUAAAUUUCAUCGAUACUCGACAUUUACACAACUCUAUACACCGCGCGGUUAAUUUCAAACACGCGGAAACAAAGACAAUAAUAUCUACAGUUCCUCACACACACCUAACUGACCUGGCUCCCCCUGAUGAACUGGAGGCCACAUGCUCAUCCCUUCCCUACCAUGCAGGUGCUCGCAUAAUUCAAAUUGGACGACAAAUACAAUCUACAACCAACAAUUUCACAAAAAAAACAGCUUCACUGCUACACCGACUGAAUUAUUUGGCAAGCAAAUCAUAUAGAUUUGGGCUUAUAGGUAUAUAAAUAUGGAAUAAAUAAAUAUAUGAUAACCAAGGGAUUUAUGGGUAAUAAAUAUG